rnacentral:misc_RNA from 1 species
GAUGAAGAACGUAGCGAAAUGCGAUAAGUAAUGUGAAUUGCAGAAUUCAGUGAAUCAUCGAAUCUUUGAACGCACAUUGCGCCCCUUGGUAUUCCGGGGGCAUGCCUGUUCGAGCGUCAUUAUAACCCCUCAAGCUCAGCUUGGUGUUGGGGCCUGCCGACUGGCAGCCCUUAAAAUCAGUGGCGGCGCCAUCUGGCUCUAAGCGUAGUAAUUUCUCUCGCUAUAGAGUCCCGGUGGAUGCUUGCCAGCAACCCCCAACUUUCUAUGGUUGACCUCGGAUCAGGUAGGGAUACCCGCUGAACUUAAGCAUAUCAAUAAGCGGAGGA